rfam:Enterococcus rotai strain LMG 26678 genome.
CCACAGCUACAACCGCACAGAACAAGUUUUUAAGCAUGACAAUCUUGUUGUCACUUGGGAUGGCGAGUCUAAGUCUAGAA